rnacentral:rRNA from 1 species
AACGAACGCUGGCGGCAUGCCUAACACAUGCAAGUCGAACGAGACCUUCGGGUUUAGUGGCGCACGGGUGCGUAACGCGUGGGAACCUGCCCUUAGGUUCGGAAUAACUCCCCGAAAGGGGUGCUAAUACCGGAUAAUGUCUUCGGACCAAAGAUUUAUCGCCUUUGGAUGGGCCCGCGUUGGAUUAGCUAGUUGGUAGGGUAAAAGCCUACCAAGGCGACGAUCCAUAGCUGGUUUGAGAGGAUGAUCAGCCACACUGGGACUGAGACACGGCCCAGACUCCUACGGGAGGCAGCAGUGGGGAAUAUUGGACAAUGGGCUAAAGCCUGAACCAGCAAUGCCGCGUGAGUGAUGAAGGCCUUAGGGUUGUAAAGCUCUUUUACCCGGGAUGAUAAUGACAGUACCGGGAGAAUAAGCUCCGGCUAACUCCGUG